GACGAACGCUGGCGGCGUGCUUAACACAUGCAAGUCGAGCGAUGAAGCUCCUUCGGGAGUGGAUUAGCGGCGGACGGGUGAGUAACACGUGGGUAACCUGCCUCAUAGAGGGGAAUAGCCUUCCGAAAGGAAGAUUAAUACCGCAUAAGAUUGUAGUAUCGCAUGAUACAGCAUUUAAAGGAGCAAUCCGCUAUGAGAUGGACCCGCGUCGCAUUAGCUAGUUGGUGAGGUAACGGCUCACCAAGGCGACGAUGCGUAGCCGACCUGAGAGGGUGAUCGGCCACAUUGGGACUGAGACACGGCCCAGACUCCUACGGGAGGCAGCAGUGGGGAAUAUUGCACAAUGGGGGAAACCCUGAUGCAGCAACGCCGCGUGAGUGAUGACGGUCUUCGGAUUGUAAAGCUCUGUCUUUAGGGACGAUAAUGACGGUACCUAAGGAGGAAGCCACGGCUAACUACGUGCCAGCAGCCGCAGUAACAC
rnacentral:rRNA from 1 species